AUUGUAAAACUUGAAUAAACUGAACCCUGCAAGCAGAAUUUCAGCACAACAAAUGUGUCAAAAUCCAUAAAAUUCAAAGAGAAAGUCAGAGAAAAUAAACAAGGGAAUUUGGCAAUCACAGAAGUUGGAGCGAUGAAGUCGAAGAGGUGAAGGAGCUUCAAUGGAAGAAGGGGUAGGAGCUUCAAUGGAAGAACAAGUGAAGGAGCUUCAAUGGAAGAAGGGGUAGGGCUUCAAUGUCAAAGAGAGGGAGGGUUCAAACGAAGGAGCAAGCAGAAAGGGAGGGUUCAAACGAAGGAGCAAGGAGCAAGCAGUCUAGGGUUCAAAGCAAUCUUGAAAGCUAGCUAGCAGAAAUGUACACAGCAGCCACGAUGAGGCUUCAGUUUCCCCUUUUUUGUUUUAAGGAUUACGACGGUUUUUUCCUAAAAACCGACAUAAAUUUAAAAAAACAUAACAUUCUAAGGCGGUUUUCAAUAACCGCCUUAGAAAGUGCGUCGUAAAAUGAAAUUUGUUACACAAUAAUUACAAAAAUGCCACCGCACCACUUUCUAAAGCGG
rnacentral:lncRNA from 1 species